rnacentral:lncRNA from 1 species
UGCUGUCAGAAUGACUCAGAUCCCCUCCUGGCACCAGCCUGCUCAGGCAGUGCAAGCUGUUCCUUUGGCUCCUGGAGAUUGGGCUGGUUCUUCACUUCUUUCUCCCCUAGGACUGAGGCCAGGGAGGAGGGGUGCAGAUUUCUGUGUUUCCACCCUUUUCUCUUCUCCCAGCACAGGGGUGCGAGAGGAGGAAGUGGAGGCUGCAGUGCUGGGCUCUGGGUUCAUUCCCUGUGAUUCCUCUGGGCUGCCCCAAGUCCUGCUCAGCACAUACACAACAGGACACCAGGCGUGCUGGACAAAUGACCAGGCAGUGUGGUACUUGAAUGCAAGGGUUUCCUGAAAAGUUACCAUCAAAAACUGGGUCAGGUGGACGAAUGCAGAUGGAGCAUUGGCAGUGAUUUCCUCUGAGUAAUGACGUGCCCUAAGAUUGUUCAGCACAGAGGACUUAAGCCACAGAAGGGAAAAGAAACGUUGAAAUCAGCCAAGGGAAGAAGCACAUAGUCUAGGAACAAUUCAAAAUGUGGAGAUCCAGCUGGGUGCAGUGGCUCAUGCCUGUAAUCCCAGCACUUUGGGAGGCAGAGGUGAGCAGAUCACCUGAGGUCAGGAGUUCCAGACCAGCCUGGCCAACGUAGUGAAACCCCAUCUCUACUAAAAACAUACAAAAAUUAGCUGGGUGUGGUGGCAGGCACCUGUAGUCCCUGCUACUCUGGAGGCUGAGGUAGGAGAAUUG